rnacentral:rRNA from 1 species
GGUUAAGUGACUAAGCGUACACGGUGGAUGCCUUGGCAGUCAGAGGCGAUGAAAGACGUAGUAACUUGCGAUAAGCCCAGAUUAGGUAGUAACAACCAUUUGAGUCUGGGAUUUCUGAAUGGGGAAACCCACGUGCAUAAGCACGUAUCCUUACCUGAAUACAUAGGGUAAGGAGGCGAACCGGGGGAACUGAAACAUCUAAGUACCCCGAGGAAAAGAAAUCAACCGAGAUUCCGAAAGUAGCGGCGAGCGAAAUUGGACUAGCCCUUAAGCUUUACACGCGUUAGACGAACGGUCUGGAAAGUCCGACGAUACAGGGUGAUAGUCCCGUAGUUGACGACGUGUGUUCAGUGAAAUCGAGUAGGGCGGGACACGUGAUAUCCUGUCUGAAUAUGGGGGGACCAUCCUCCAAGGCUAAAUACUACUGACUGACCGAUAGUGAACCAGUACCGUGAGGGAAAGGCGAAAAGAACCCCUGUGAGGGGAGUGAAAUAGAACCUGAAACCGUGUACGUACAAGCAGUAGGAGCAGGCUUUGUCCUGUGACUGCGUACCUUUUGUAUAAUGGGUCAGCGACUUAUAUUCAGUGGCAAGGUUAACCAUCUAGGGGAGCCGUAGGGAAACCGAGUCUUAACUGGGCGUUCAGUCUCUGGAUAUAGACCCGAAACCAGGUGAUCUAGCCAUGGGCAGGUUGAAGGUUGAGUAACAUCAACUGGAGGACCGAACCGACUAAUGUUGAAAAAUUAGCGGAUGACUUGUGGCUAGGGGUGAAAGGCCAAUCAAACCUGGAGAUAGCUGGUUCUCCCCGAAAGCUAUUUAGGUAGCGCCUCGGACGAAUACUACUGGGGGUAGAGCACUGUUAAGGCUAGGGGGUCAUCCCGACUUACCAACCCUUUGCAAACUCCGAAUACCAGUAAGUACUAUCCGGGAGACACACGGCGGGUGCUAACGUCCGUCGUGGAGAGGGAAACAACCCAGACCGCCAGCUAAGGUCCCAAAUUACUACUAAGUGGGAAACGAUGUGGGAAGGCUCAGACAGCCAGGAUGUUGGCUUAGAAGCAGCCAUCAUUUAAAGAAAGCGUAAUAGCUCACUGGUCGAGUCGGCCUGCGCGGAAGAUGUAACGGGGCUAAGUAGUAAACCGAAGCUGCGGCAAUAUACUUUUGUAUAUUGGGUAGGGGAGCGUUCUGUAAGCGGUUGAAGGUGUGUGGUAACGCAUGCUGGACGUAUCAGAAGUGCGAAUGCUGACAUGAGUAACGAUAAAGGGGGUGAAAAACCUCCUCGCCGGAAGACCAAGGGUUCCUGUCCAACGUUAAUCGGGGCAGGGUAAGUCGACCCCUAAGGCGAGGCCGAAAGGCGUAGUCGAUGGGAAACGGGUUAAUAUUCCCGUACUUCUUACAAUUGCGAUGGGGGGACGGAGAAGGCUAGGUGGGCCUGGCGACGGUUGUCCAGGUUCAAGUGCGUAGGCUUAAGA